UACGAAGGGGGCUAGCGUUGUUCGGAUUUACUGGGCGUAAAGCGCACGUAGGCGGAUCGUUAAGUCGGGGGUGAAAUCCUGGAGCUCAACUCCAGAACUGCCUUCGAUACUGGCGAUCUCGAGUCCGGAAGAGGUGAGUGGAACUCCUAGUGUAGAGGUGAAAUUCGUAGAUAUUCGCAAGAACACCAGUGGCGAAGGCGGCUCUCUGGAACGCAACUGACGCUGAGACGCGAAAGCGUGGGGAGCAAACAGG
rnacentral:rRNA from 1 species